rnacentral:lncRNA from 10 species
AAUAACUAACUUGCUUUGUAUUUUACAGGCUCCUAGGCAGAAGGGACUUGCCUUGUCUCUGAUGAGACUUUGGAGUCACACUUUUGGGCUAAUACUAGAAUGAGGAAUGACUUAUAAUGACAUGAAAAGGUGCUCAACACAGUCCUCACAGUCAUCAGAGAAAUCCCAUAUAAAACCAUGAUAUGAUGACAUUAUACAUCCUCUAGAAAGGCAACAAUUAAAACGACUGGCAGUACCAAGUGUUGGGGAAGAUGUACAGCAGCCGGAUUCUCACGCACUGCUGGUGGAAACAUAAAAUGGUGCAACCACUUUGGAAAACAGUUUGGCAGCUUUUCUGUUUUGUUUUUAAAUAAAAUUAAAC